GGGCCCGUAGCUCAGCUGGGAGAGCGCAUCGUUCGCAAUGAUGAGGUCGGGAGUUCGAUCCUCCUCGGGUCCACCA
rnacentral:tRNA from 1 species